rnacentral:lncRNA from 1 species
AGCUCUACUUACAGGUAGGGAGAACAAUCCAUAUUUCAUGCAUAAAUAAUGUGAUGUGCCAUUGGCAGACAUAAAAACAUAACACAUUUUUAAAGGUCACUACAUAAUUUUCUGAGUUUGCAUACUUGUGAGAAGGAAGAACUUCUAUUCUCUUUUCCUACUGCUAGCUAACCUAAGUUCUGGGCAGGGAGUAGGAUGCAAGUAGGAGAGAGACAGGCCGAGACAGAGAGAGUCGGAGAGACAGAGAGACAC